UACGUAGGGUGCAAGCGUUGUCCGGAAUUAUUGGGCGUAAAGAGCGUGUAGGCGGCCAGACAGGUCCGUUGUGAAAACUCGAGGCUCAACCUCGAGAUGUCGAUGGAAACCGUCUGGCUAGAGUCCGGAAGAGGAGUGUGGAAUUCCAGGUGUAGCGGUGAAAUGCGUAGAUAUCUGGAGGAACACCGGUGGCGAAGGCGGCAUCCUGGACCGAUACUGACGCUGAGGAGCGAAAGCCAGGGGAGCAAACGGG
rnacentral:rRNA from 1 species